UGGGAAUCAUGGUCAAUGGGCGAAAGCCCGAACCUGCGACGCCGCGUGAGUGAUGAAGGUCGUAAGAUCGUAAAACUCUUUUCAGGGAUCUUAACGCACAGCUGUCAACAACAGCUGUGUCUGACUCUCCCUGGAAGAAGCCCCAGCCAACUACGUGCCAGCAGCUGCGGUAAUACGUAGGGGGCGAGCGUUAUUCGGAAUUACUGGGUGUAAAGGGUAUGUAGGCGGCCGAUUAAGUCCGGAGUGAAAGUCCUGCUUUCAAGGUGGGAAUUGCUUUGGAAACUGGUUGGCUUGAGUGCGGAAGAGGUAAGUGGAAUUCCCAGUGUAGCGGUGAAAUGCGUAGAGAUUGGGAGGAACACCAGUGGCGAAGGCGACUUACUGGGCCGUAACUGACGCUGAGGCGCGAAAGCGUGGGGAGCGAACA
rnacentral:rRNA from 1 species